GGUUGAUCCUGCCAGUAGUUAUAUGCUUGUCUCAAAGACUAAGCCAUGCAUGUCCAAGUAUAAACCAAUUAUACGGUGAAACUGCGAAUGGCUCAUUAUAUCAGUUAUUGUUUAUUUGAUGAUACCCUACCACUUGGAUAACCGUGGUAAUUCUAGAGCUAAUACAUGCACGAAAUCUCGACUCGCUUGCGGGAAGGGAUGUAUUUAUUAGAUAAAAGCCAGCCCGGCGUGCUCUCGGGCGCGUCGGAUCAGCGUGGUGAUUCAUGAUAACUUUGCGGAUCGCACGACUCUA
rnacentral:rRNA from 1 species